rnacentral:rRNA from 1 species
UACCAGCACCCCGAGCGGUCAGCGCGAUUAUUGGGCCUAAAGCAUCCGUAGCCGGUUUUACAAGUCCGCCGUGAAAUCCAGCUGCUUAACAGAUGGGCUGCGGAGGAUACUAUAAGACUAGGAGGCAGGAGAGGCAAGCGGUACUCAGUGGGUAGGGGUAAAAUCCGUUGAUCCAUUGAAGACCACCAGUGGCGAAGGCGGCUUGCCAGAAUGCGCUCGACGGUGAGGGAUGAAAGCUGGGGGAGCAAACCGG